rnacentral:lncRNA from 1 species
CUUGAAAUCUAUUUUGUCUAACUGUAGCCAAUCCUGCUCUUUUUUGGUUUCCAUUUGCAUGAAACAUCUUUUUUUGUACCUUUUUUUCUGUUAUUAUCCAUUUGAAUCAAAUUUCUACCUGUAGCUCUCUCUCUCUAUCUCCUCUUUAAGGCCAAUAACUCAGAUUUGCCCUUUUGAGGCUAUUUUCCAGAUCACGUAGGCAUCCUUUGUUCUUUUUUAAUUCUUUCUGAUUUUUUUAUCCUAUGACUGAAUAUUUUCAAAUAGUCUGUCUUCAAGCUCACUAAUUCUUUCUUCUGCUUGAUCAAUUCUGCUGUUAAGAAAGUCUGAUGCAUUCUUUAGUAUGUCAAUUGCAUUUUUCAACUCAAGAAUUUCUGCUUGAUUCUAGUUAAUUAUUUCAAUAUAUUUGUUAAAUUUAUCUAAUAGAUUUCUGAAUUCCUCUCUGGGUUAUCUUGAAUUAAGUUGUGUUUCCUCAAGACAUCUUGCAAAAGCAAAAAAUAAACCUAACAUCUGAAUAAUUUCAAUAAGUGCUAAGUCUGUGUAAAACAAUGCACAUAAUAAUGACUUUAUGCCUUCUACGAUUGUAUGCUGACUGAUAAAUAAUACUGACAGCUAAUAUACAUUUAAUUAUCUACAACUUAUUGAACUUAUGACUGUACUGGCAGGCAAGAUAUGAAUGCACGAAAAUAUAAAAAUAAUCAAGUUUUAAAUACCUAUUUGAGAUUUUCUUUUCAAUAGAUUUUACUCUACUAAUAUUUAUGGAAUACUUACUACACAUCAGAACUUGUGUUAGGUAUCAGUAUACAAGAAAUAAUACAAUGAGGUUAUUUCUUUCAAGAACUCCACCAUCUAGAGGGGGAGGAAAACUUUCAAACACACAGUUCCAAAACAUCAUCAGCAGUACAGAGAAAGGUGUAUGGUGCUAUGGAAUUCAGAUAAGGAAAGCCUUAAUUCUGCUGACAGUGGGUCUGAAGGUUUAUCAAGGAAGGCUUCCCAAAAGAGGCGAGACUCACAUUAGGUCUUGAAGAAUGAGAGUUUUCCAGGCCAAAAAGAAAAUGCAUGGCACAUAGUAGGUCCUUAGUCAGUUGUAUACAUGAUAAUAAGAGCAUCUACGUGUACAAAAUUUAGUAGAAAGUCAACAUCCAGCAGUUUAAUAGCAUUAUUCAUAAUCCCAAAACAAGUGAUUCCAAGGACCCCCAACAAUUUGCCUAUGCCCAUUACCAUUUUUAUGGUGAUGACUCCAGAUUUACACCUCCAACAGCAUUCCAAGUAUCUUAUCCAUCUCAAUGGAUAAGACAUGGGACCAGUUAUGUCCCAUGGAAUAACUCAGAGAUAUUGUAAACAUUAUCUGUUCAAAAG